AAUUCUACAAAAGUGCUAAACAGAAGUCGGAACUAAAAUCAGUCUUUGAGACUUUGAAACUGCAGUUCUCCAUGCCUACUCGAGUUGGGGGUACGAGGUGGGUGGGCCAUAUGCUACUAGCGGUCAAGAACAUGCUGAAAGGAUACAGAGCCCUGGGUUUUCAUUUGAGCAAGGUUGCUCAGAUACGUUCCCAGUCAGCAGCUCAGUCUAAGGCGAUGAACUUCAUCAAAAAGUUGAAGACAAAGAGUAUUAUCUUCUUUGCCCACUUCCUUGUAGAUGUGCUCAGUGUUUUGGCUCGCCUUUCCAAGCAACUCCAGGACAAGAAGGAUGUGUCUUCCAGGUCCAUAGACAGCUUGAAACUACACUUAUCAACCUGAACAAGCUGGGGAAAGAUUUUGGUGAUGAUUGCCUCGUGAAAUUGUUGGAUCACUUCCAUGACAUCUUAGAGAGGAAAGGGGUGGACCUAGCUGCAGCUGAAGAAGAAUGGACAGCCCUGAAACAGGCUUUGUAUAAAAGCUUAGGAAAUUAGUCUGAGCUAUGCUGAUAGCCAGAUACCAUGUAAUUACUGAUUGUAAUUAUCUCACUCUGGUGAGAGCUCAUAUUCGUAUAAUGUCUAGAAUUUAACAUUACAAAGUCAUUAUUAGGGCAUUAUUAUUUUUCAGUGAUCAGGUCCAUGAGGCUAACUUGAAUUGGGCCACAAUCAACAAACUUCACAGAGAGAGGUGUCCUAACAUCCUGGAGGUAAUAGAUUUGAUUCUGUCUCUACCAUCUUCCAGUGCUGAAUGCGAAAGAGGAUUUUCACAAAUGAAGCUCACCAAGUCUCAAUACCGAAACAAACUCAGCAGCUCAUCAAUGACACUCUUGAUGACAAUCCAACUUCACUCCAAGGCAGUUGUUGACUUUGACCCAACACACUCUAUACAUAAGUGGAACAAAUAUCAUCAUAGAAGGCCAGAGUUUUUGCCUAAGUCAAAGCGGGUCAGGAAUUCAGUUUCACUGAAUACUCUAGAGCAUCAUUUGAGUGAAGUUGAAGUGCCUCAAGCUGAAGAACUGCCUAGUGCAGGGGGAAGUUCUGAAUCUGCACCCCUUUCAGAUUCAGACUAUAAUUCUGUUUUUUCAGAUUUGGACGAAUCUGACUUUGAAUAUGAUGACUAAACUGUUAAAGCCUUGACUGAAACAGAUUUGAAAACAUGUGUUAUUGUGACAAUAACCUGACAUUAAACAGUUCCAUCCUCUUA